rnacentral:rRNA from 1 species
GUUCGAUUCCGGAGAGCGGUGGAAUUUGACUCAACACGCAUUCUGACUCAACACGCAAUUUGACUCAACACGCAAUUUGACUCAACACGCAAUUUGACUCAACACGCAAUUUGACUCAACACGCAAUUUGACUCAACACGCAAUUUGACUCAACACGCAAUUUGACUCAACACGCACCAAGGGUUCGAUUCCGGAGAGCGGUGGGCACCAAUUUGACUCAACACGCAUGGGUUCGAUUCCGGAGAGCGGUGGGCACUAAUUUGACUCAACACGCAAUUCGACUCAACACGCAAUUUGACUCAAAACGCAAUUUGA